rnacentral:rRNA from 1 species
AUUUUCCGGUUGAUCCCGCCGGAGGCUACUGCUAUUGGGGAUUCGAUUAAGCCAUGCGAGUCAAGGUGUCUUCGGACGCCGGCAUACGGCUCAGUAAACACGUAGGUAACCUACCCUCAGGACUGAGAUAACCCCGGGAAACUGGGGCUAAUAUUAGAUAGAUAAAAGAUACUGGAAUGUUCUUUUAUCCAAAGCUUUUGCGCCUGAGGAUGGGCCUGCGCCCGAUUAGGUUGUUGGUGGGGUAAUGGCCCACCAAGCCUACGAUCGGUACGGGCAGUGGGAGCUGAAGCCCGGAGUUGGGGACUGAGACAAGGCCCCAGGCCCUACGGGGCGCAGCAGGCGCGAAACCUCUGCAAUGCGGGAAACCGUGACAGGGGGAUCCCAAGUGCUCAUGCAUUGCAUGGGCUGUUCUUUGGUCUAAGUAACCAGAGGAGUAAGGGCUGGGCAAGACCGGUGCCAGCCGCCGCGGUAAUACCGGCAGCUCAAGUGGUAGCCGCGAUUAUUGGGCCUAAAACGUUCGUAGCCGGAUAAGUAAGUCUUUGGUUAAAUCCUGCGACUUAACCGUGGGAAAUCUAGAGAUACUGCUUGUCUUGAGACCGGGAGAGGUUGGAGGUACUCCCAGGGUAGGGGUGAAAUCCUGUAAUCCUGGGGGGACCACCUGUGGCGAAGGCGUCCAACUGGAACGGGUCUGACGGUGAGGGACGAAACCUAGGGGAGCGGGCCGGAUUAGAUACCCGGGUAGUCCUAGGCGUAAAUGAUGCGAGUUAAGUGUGGGGGCAUCCACGAGAUGGCCCUGUGCUGUAGGGUAGCCGUUAAACUCGCUGCCUGGGGAGUACGGUCGCAAGGCUGAAACUUAAAGGAAUUGGCGGGGGAGCACCACAAGAGGUGGAGGCUGCGGUUCAAUUGGAUUCAACGCCGGAAAU